rnacentral:rRNA from 1 species
GAUGAACGCUGGCGGCGUGCCUAAUACAUGCAAGUCGAGCGAACAGACGAGGAGCUUGCUCCUCUGACGUUAGCGGCGGACGGGCGAGUAACACGUGGAUAACCUACCUAUAAGACUGGGAUAACUUCGGGAAACCGGAGCUAAUACCGGAUAAUAUAUUGAACCGCAUGGUUCAAUAGUGAAAGACGGUUUUGCUGUCACUUAUAGAUGGAUCCGCGCCGCAUUAGCUAGUUGGUAAGGUAACGGCUUACCAAGGCAACGAUGCGUAGCCGACCUGAGAGGGUGAUCGGCCACACUGGAACUGAGACACGGUCCAGACUCCUACGGGAGGCAGCAGUAGGGAAUCUUCCGCAAUGGGCGAAAGCUUGACGGAGCAACGCCGCGUGAGUGAUGAAGGUCUUCGGAUCGUAAAACUCUGUUAUUAGGGAAGAACAGAUGUGUAAGUAACUAUGCACGUCUUGACGGUACCUAAUCAAAAAGCCACGGCUAACUACGUG